AUUGAACGCUGGCGGCAUGCCUUACACAUGCAAGUCGAACGGCAGCACGGGUGCUUGCACCUGGUGGCGAGUGGCGAAGGGGUGAGUAAUACAUCGGAACAUGCCCUGUAGUGGGGGAUAGCCCGGCGAAAGCCGGAUUAAUACCGCAUACGAUCUACGGAUGAAAGCGGGGUACCUUCGGGCCUCGCGCUAUAGGGUUGGCCGAUGGCUGAUUAGCUAGUUGGUGGGGUAAAGGUCUACCAAGGCGACGAUCAGUAGCUGGUCUGAGAGGACGACCAGCCACACUGGGACUGAGACACGGCCCAGACUCCUACGGGAGGCAGCAGUGGGGAAUUUUGGACAAUGGGCGAAAGCCUGAUCCAGCAAUGCCGCGUGUGUGAAGAAGGCCUUCGGGUUGUAAAGCACUUUUGUCCGGAAAGAAAUCCUUGGCCCUAAUACGGUCGGGGGAUGACGGUACCGGAAGAAUAAGCACCGGCUAACUACGUG
rnacentral:rRNA from 1 species